UCAAUUUAGGGUGUCAAGGAAGUCUUUUU
rnacentral:piRNA from 1 species